UACGUAGGGGGCAAGCGUUGUCCGGAAUCAUUGGGCGUAAAGAGCGUGUAGGCGGUCAGGUAGGUCCGUUGUGAAAACUCGAGGCUCAACCUCGAGACGCCGAUGGAAACCAUCUGACUAGAGUCCGGAAGAGGAGAGUGGAAUUCCUGGUGUAGCGGUGAAAUGCGCAGAUAUCAGGAAGAACACCCGUGGCUAAGGCGGCUCUCUAGUACGGUACUGACGCUGAGACGCGAAAGCGUGGGGAGCGAACAGG
rnacentral:rRNA from 1 species